GCGAGUGUAGCACAGUUGGUAGUGCGCAACCUUGCCAAGGUUGAGGUCACGGGUUCGAACCCCGUCACUCGCU
rnacentral:tRNA from 1 species